GCCUACGGGGCGCAGCAGUAGGGAAUCCUCCACAAUGGGUGAAAGCCUGAUGGAGCAACGCCGCGUGGGUGAAGAAGGUCUUCGGAUCGUAAAACCCUGUUGUUAGAGAAGAAAGUGCGUGAGAGUAACUGUUCACGCUUCGACGGUAUCUAACCAGAAAGCCACGGCUAACUACGUGCCAGCAGCCGCGGUAAUACGUAGGUGGCAAGCGUUAUCCGGAUUUAUUGGGCGUAAAGGGAACGCAGGCGGUCUUUUAAGUCUGAUGUGGAAGCCUUCGGCUUAACCGGAGUAGUGCAUUGGAAACG
rnacentral:rRNA from 1 species